AGCGGCGGACGGGUGAGUAACGCGUGGGAAUAUGCCCUUCUCUAAGGAAUAGCCUCGGGAAACUGAGAGUAAUACCUUAUACGCCCUUCGGGGGAAAGAUUUAUCGGAGAAGGAUUAGCCCGCGUUAGAUUAGGUAGUUGGUGGGGUAAUGGCCUACCAAGCCUACGAUCUAUAGCUGGUUUGAGAGGAUGAUCAGCCACACUGGGACUGAGACACGGCCCAGACUCCUACGGGAGGCAGCAGUAGGGAAUCUUAGACAAUGGGGGAAACCCUGAUCUAGCCAUGCCGCGUGUGUGAUGAAGGCCUUAGGGUCGUAAAGCACUUUCGCCAGAGAUGAUAAUGACAGUAUCUGGUAAAGAAACCCCGGCUAACUCCGUGCCAGCAGCCGCGGUAAUACGGAGGGGGUUAGCGUUGUUCGGAAUUACUGGGCGUAAAGCGUACGUAGGCGGAUUAGUAAGUUAGAGGUGAAAUCCCAGGGCUCAACCCUGGAACUGCCUUUAAUACUGCUAGUCUUGAGUUCGAGAGAGGUAAGUGGAAUUCCGAGUGUAGAGGUGAAAUUCGUAGAUAUUCGGAGGAACACCAGUGGCGAAUGCGGCUUACUGGCUCGAUACUGACGCUGAGGUACGAAAGUGUGGGGAGCAAACAGGAUUAGAUACCCUGGUAGUCCACACCGA
rnacentral:rRNA from 1 species